GGACCCGUAGCUCAGCUAGGAUGGAGCGCCGGCCUUCGGAGCCGGUGGUCCCGGGUUCAAAUCCCGGCGGGUCCG
rfam:Sulfolobus solfataricus P2, complete genome.